UUAAGCGACUAAGCGUACACGGUGGAUGCCCUGGCAGUCAGAGGCGAUGAAGGACGUGCUAAUCUGCGAAAAGCGUCGGUAAGGUGAUAUGAACCGUUAUAACCGGCGAUGUCCGAAUGGGGAAACCCAGUGCAAUUCGUUGCACUAUCGUUAACUGAAUACAUAGGUUAACGAGGCGAACCGGGGGAACUGAAACAUCUAAGUACCCCGAGGAAAAGAAAUCAACCGAGAUUCCCCCAGUAGCGGCGAGCGAACGGGGAGCAGCCCAGAGUCUGAAUCAGCUUGUGUGUUAGUGGAACGGUCUGGAAAGUCCGACGGUACAGGGUGAUAGUCCCGUACACCAAAAUGCACAGGUUGUGAACUCGAAGAGUAGGGCGGGACACGUGGUAUCCUGUCUGAAUAUGGGGGGACCAUCCUCCAAGGCUAAAUACUCCUGACUGACCGAUAGUGAACCAGUACCGUGAGGGAAAGGCGAAAAGAACCCCGGCGAGGGGAGUGAAAAAGAACCUGAAACCGUGUACGUACAAGCAGUGGGAGCACCUUCGGGUGUGACUGCGUACCUUUUGUAUAAUGGGUCAGCGACUUAUAUUCUGUAGCAAGGUUAACCGUAUAGGGGAGCCGCAGGGAAACCGAGUCUUAACUGGGCGUUAAGUUGCAGGGUAUAGACCCGAAACCCGGUGAUCUAGCCAUGGGCAGGUUGAAGGUUGGGUAACACUAACUGGAGGACCGAACCGACUAAUGUUGAAAAAUUAGCGGAUGACUUGUGGCUGGGGGUGAAAGGCCAAUCAAACCGGGAGAUAGCUGGUUCUCCCCGAAAGCUAUUUAGGUAGCGCCUCGUGAACUCAUCUUCGGGGGUAGAGCACUGUUUCGGCUAGGGGGUCAUCCCGACUUACCAACCCGAUGCAAACUACGAAUACCGAAGAAUGUUAUCACGGGAGACACACGGCGGGUGCUAACGUCCGUCGUGAAGAGGGAAACAACCCAGACCGCCAGCUAAGGUCCCAAAGUCAUGGUUAAGUGGGAAACGAUGUGGGAAGGCACAGACAGCCAGGAUGUUGGCUUAGAAGCAGCCAUCAUUUAAAGAAAGCGUAAUAGCUCACUGGUCGAGUCGGCCUGCGCGGAAGAUGUAACGGGGCUAAACCAUGCACCGAAGCUGCGGCAGCGACACUAUGUGUUGUUGGGUAGGGGAGCGUUCUGUAAGCCUGCGAAGGUGACCUGUGAGGGUUGCUGGAGGUAUCAGAAGUGCGAAUGCUGACAUAAGUAACGAUAAAGCGGGUGAAAAGCCCGCUCGCCGGAAGACCAAGGGUUCCUGUCCAACGUUAAUCGGGGCAGGGUGAGUCGACCCCUAAGGCGAGGCCGAAAGGCGUAGUCGAUGGGAAACAGGUUAAUAUUCCUGUACUUGGUGUUACUGCGAAGGGGGGACGGAGAAGGCUAUGUUAGCCGGGCGACGGUUGUCCCGGUUUAAGCAUGUAGGCUGGUUGUCCAGGCAAAUCCGGAUAAUCAAGGCUGAGGUGUGAUGACGAGGCACUACGGUGCUGAAGUAACAAAUGCCCUGCUUCCAGGAAAAGCCUCUAAGCAUCAGGUAACAUUGAAUCGUACCCCAAACCGACACAGGUGGUCAGGUAGAGAAUACCAAGGCGCUUGAGAGAACUCGGGUGAAGGAACUAGGCAAAAUGGUGCCGUAACUUCGGGAGAAGGCACGCUGGUGUGUAGGUGAAGUCCCUGCGGAUGGAGCUGAGACCAGUCGAAGAUACCAGCUGGCUGCAACUGUUUAUUAAAAACACAGCACUGUGCAAACACGAAAGUGGACGUAUACGGUGUGACGCCUGCCCGGUGCCGGAAGGUUAAUUGAUGGGGUUAUCCGUAAGGAGAAGCUCUUGAUCGAAGCCCCGGUAAACGGCGGCCGUAACUAUAACGGUCCUAAGGUAGCGAAAUUCCUUGUCGGGUAAGUUCCGACCUGCACGAAUGGCGUAAUGAUGGCCAGGCUGUCUCCACCCGAGACUCAGUGAAAUUGAACUCGCUGUGAAGAUGCAGUGUACCCGCGGCAAGACGGAAAGACCCCGUGAACCUUUACUAUAGCUUGACACUGAACAUUGAGCCUUGAUGUGUAGGAUAGGUGGGAGGCUUUGAAGCGUGGACGCCAGUCUGCGUGGAGCCAACCUUGAAAUACCACCCUUUAAUGUUUGAUGUUCUAACGUUGGCCCCUGACCGGGGUUGCGGACAGUGUCUGGUGGGUAGUUUGACUGGGGCGGUCUCCUCCCAAAGCGUAACGGAGGAGCACGAAGGUUAGCUAAUCCUGGUCGGACAUCAGGAGGUUAGUGCAAUGGCAUAAGCUAGCUUGACUGCGAGCGUGACGGCGCGAGCAGGUGCGAAAGCAGGUCAUAGUGAUCCGGUGGUUCUGAAUGGAAGGGCCAUCGCUCAACGGAUAAAAGGUACUCCGGGGAUAACAGGCUGAUACCGCCCAAGAGUUCAUAUCGACGGCGGUGUUUGGCACCUCGAUGUCGGCUCAUCACAUCCUGGGGCUGAAGUAGGUCCCAAGGGUAUGGCUGUUCGCCAUUUAAAGUGGUACGCGAGCUGGGUUUAGAACGUCGUGAGACAGUUCGGUCCCUAUCUGCCGUGGGCGCUGGAGAAUUGAGGGGGGCUGCUCCUAGUACGAGAGGACCGGAGUGGACGCAUCACUGGUGUUCGGGUUGUCAUGCCAAUGGCACUGCCCGGUAGCUAAAUGCGGAAGAGAUAAGUGCUGAAAGCAUCUAAGCACGAAACUUGCCCCGAGAUGAGUUCUCCCUGAGACUUUAAGUCUCCUGAAGGAACGUUGAAGACGACGACGUUGAUAGGCCGGGUGUGUAAGCGCAGCGAUGCGUUGAGCUAACCGGUACUAAUGAACCGUGAGGCUUAACCU
rnacentral:rRNA from 1 species